rnacentral:rRNA from 1 species
CCCUUAGAUGUUCUGGGCCGCACGCGCGCUACACUGACGAAUGCAACGAGCUUAUAACCUUGGCCGAAAGGUCUGGGUAAUCUCCAAAUUUCGUCGUGAUGGGGAUAGAUUAUUGCAAUUAUUAAUCUUCAACGAGGAAUGCCUAGUAAGCGCAAGUCAUCAGCUUGCGUUGAUUACGUCCCUGCCCUUUGUACACACCGCCCGUCGCUCCUACCGAUUGAAUGGUCCGGUGAAGCGUUCGGACCAUGGCCUUUGGACGGUUCGCCGUCUGUUGGCUGCGGGAAGUUCGUUAAACCUUAUCAUUUAGAGGAAGGAGAAGUCGUAACA